rnacentral:lncRNA from 1 species
AGUCUACAUACCACGACGGGAAGGUGGAUUGGGGAUUCGACAAGCGUGGAUUGUAAACAUUUUCCUACUUGGGAAACUCGUCUAGAAACUCCUCGCUAAUAGAAGAUCUCUCUAGACUUCAACUUUUGCUGCAAAAUAUGGUGAUUUAUAGACUGAUGCACCUUGUAGGGGAAAUUCUCCGCAUUUGACAGGUAUAGUUAAAGCUUUUCAGUGUUUGAGGCAUUUGUUUUCU